rnacentral:tRNA from 2 species
GUAGAUAUAGUUUAAAUAAAACACUAAACUGUGAACUUAGUUAUAAGGGCUCGAAACCCCUUAUCUACC